rnacentral:rRNA from 1 species
CACGUAGGGGCCAAGCGUUGUCCGGAUUCAUUGGGCGUAAAGAGCUCGUAGGCGGUUCAGUUAGUCGGGUGUGAAAUCUCCGGGCUCAACCCGGAGGGGCCACCCGAUACUGCUGUGACUCGAGUCCGGUAGGGGAGUGGGGAACUAUCGGUGGAGCGGUGAAAUGCGUUGAUAUCGAUAGGAACUCCGGUGGCGAAGGCGGCAUACUGGACCACUACUGACGCUGAUGCGCGAAAGCCAGGGGAGCAAACGGG